rnacentral:lncRNA from 1 species
CUCUUCCCUGAAAAUUACAGAAGAGGAAAGCAACAGUGUGUUCAGCAAGCUGGAACUAAACUGUUACUGAAUGGAGAGUUCCCAUCCUGCCUCAGUGGAAUCAAAGAAAAGAGAAAGGCUCCAAAAUGAACACAAUGCGUGUUAUUUGCUACCAUAAACUGUGCAACUGGUUUCUACUGCUGUGUUGCAAUUGAAUAGUAAUCAGGAGAAGUUACACGUUGUUCUUAGAAAUAAUACAACGAAUCCUGUCAAUCUUAAGUCCUGACACUGAAUUUAACGCUCUCUGUUUAGUCCUACCAUCAAGGAUGAUUUGCAGGUGAAGAAUUCUUGAUAGUCAGAUGCAGACUACGUCUUCAGAUCCUAUGGCCUAAGGUUAUUAAGGUGGGAGAAGCAAAACAAAUGCGGUUCUCAUCCAGUAAUAAUGGAUUUACAAGAAUUUGAAACAAAACUUUCCUUCCAGCUACUGCUUUCAUGUCAGAG